rnacentral:rRNA from 1 species
GAACGAGAAAGUGGAGCAAUCCAUGAGUACAGUGGCGACCGGGUGAGUAACACGUGACCAACCUGCCCUCGAGUGGGGAAUAACUUCCGGGAAACNCGGAGCUAAUACCGCAUAACAUCGCAAGAUCAAAGCCGCAAGGCGCUUGAGGAGGGGGUCGCGGCUGAUUAGCUAGUUGGUAGGGUAAUGGCCUACCAAGGCGAAGAUCGGUAGCCGGCCUGAGAGGGCGCACGGCCACACUGGAACUGAAACACGGUCCAGACUCCUACGGGAGGCAGCAGUGGGGAAUUUUGCGCAAUGGGGGAAACCCUGACGCAGCAACGCCGCGUGGAGGAUGAAGUCCCUUGGGACGUAAACUCCUUUCGACCGGGACGAUACUGACGGUACCGGAAGAAGAAGCACCGGCUAACUCUGUG